GCUCAACAAGCAGAAUACAAUAUACUAUAAAAAAUUGAAAUCCAAGAUGGCGGCCGCUACAAAAUGGCGGAUAACGUAGGUUUUAUCGAUCCCAUCAAUAUGGGUAUCAAAUGAAAGUGCUCAACCAGUAUAAUCAAUGUACUAUAUAAAAUUAAAAUCCAAGAUGGCGGCCUCUACAAAAUGGCGGAUAGCUUAGGUUUUAUCAAUCCCAUCAACAUGGGUAUCAAAUGAAAGGUCUCAACAAGUAGAAUACAAUUUACUAUGCAAAAUUGAAAUCUAAGCUGGCCGCCGCUACCAAAUGUCUGAUAACAUUUUUUUAUCAAUCCCACCAAUAUGGGUAUCAAAUAAAAGGGCUUGACAAGAAGAAUACAGUGCACUAUACAACCUCAAUAUUUAAGAUGGGCCUUGCA
rnacentral:misc_RNA from 1 species